CCGGUAUCUCAUCCGGCCCCGUCGCCCUACCCCUUCGCAUCCUGCGGACAGCCUGUCUAACCUCUUCUACCUUAAAACGUCUACAAUAGCUAAAAUCCCGACACUCCUCUGAGUGCUCCAGUUCCCCUAACACAAUAGCUCUAUCCCCUUCGUCAUUCAAGAGCCUAUGAAAGUACGACUGCCAUCUAUUCUUAAUGUGGCCGUCCUCCACCAACACUCUACCGUCCUCCCCCUUAAUGCACCUCACCUGAUCGAGGUCACGACCCUUCCUCUCCCUAGCCUUAGCGAGUCUAAACAACUUUUUCUCCCCUCCUUUCCCCUGUAUCCCUGCAUACAAGCUCUCAAAAGCGGCCGUCUUAGCUGUCGUGACUGCUGACUUACCC
rnacentral:lncRNA from 1 species